UCUUCCCCCCUUUGGCCUUUCCAUCUCACAGCAAUCGAACUUUUGUGGCAGGUUCCCAUGUUUACAGCGUCUGGUUUACGUGUUCGUUUCCUCAAGGUAUGGGAAAGGAGUGGGUACAACACAGUCGAGUGGGUUCGUUAUAUAACGAAGGCUGGGUCGUAUGAGAUUCGAUGCUAGGAUGACUUAUUGUUGCCAGUGAGUGACACGAGGAAUUAUUUGUCAAUGUGAGUGCAUUUCUCCUCCAAUUUGAUGCAGCCUCUCGUUCUGCAUCUUGUAUUAGUUGAGGUAGAUGUUAUUCAAGAAAAGAGGAAAAUACGAAGUGACAACUUGAGGUCAAUGUUAUUUGUGGUAAGUGGGAUAAUAUGCGUGUUUGGAAUUGUGAAAUUUGGUUUGAGAUUUUGUGCUGUAAAGGCCGGUCAAUAUUGACUGGGAGGCAUACCCCAAUCUACUUGUUUGUUUGGUUUGACAUAAAUUUUGAGUUAAAAUGUGUAAUUUGCUUUGAAUUGGAACACAUUUUUUGUUUUAUUUUAUUUAUUUAUUUUAAA